UACGGGGGGGGCAAGCGUUGUUCGGAAUUACUGGGCGUAAAGGGCUCGUAGGUGGCCAACUAAGUCAGACGUGAAAUCCCUCGGCUUAACCGGGGAACUGCGUCUGAUACUGAUUGGCUUGAGUGUGGGAGAGGGAUGCGGAAUUCCAGGUGUAGCGGUGAAAUGCGUAGAUAUCUGGAGGAACACCGGUGGCGAAGGCGGCAUCCUGGACCGCGACUGACGCUGAGGAGCGAAAGCCAGGGGAGCAAACGGG
rnacentral:rRNA from 1 species